rfam:Macrostomum lignano uti_cns_0007555, whole genome shotgun sequence.
GGCGGCGUAGCCUAGUGGUUCGACCGUUAUGGGCGUCAGACUCACGACUUGAAGGUCGGGGGUUCGAUUCCCGAUCCCGCUG